rnacentral:sRNA from 1 species
AAAUGCGUUAAGUCAUAAUCAUUUAAGUUCUGUAAUUUAGCCAUCAUACGAUAUUCUGUCGGUGUACAACAUAAAACAUUAAUUUGAUAUUUUUGAAGCAAUUCUAAGUAUGUUUCAGGACUGAACCUUCCAUUAAAUACAAAAGCAGUUGCACCUGAACCUAAUACAGAUAAGAAAGGACUCCAUACCCAUUUUUGCCAAC